GAGACAGGGGUCCCAUGACCAGGACAGGAGCCCAUCAGAACAGCUGCCUUCAGAGAGGGAAAGGCCAAAACUGCCUCGAGGUCUCAGGAAGCAACCUAUGAUAGUGACAAGGCCCCAAGCUGGGCUCUGAAGGCCUGAGUACCAAGCUCUACCCUGCACUAACUGGCUAGUGACUUAGCAAAUCAGGACUCUCACCCUCUCUGGCCCUCCGUUUUCUCAUCCCUGUGCCAGCGAAGCUAUUCUCGCCUUGCCUGCAUCUCCGUGUAUGAUAAGGGUGUCUCCACCUCGCCUGCUGUGCCUCACCUCUUCAUCUGUAAAAUGGGGGUAAUACUUCCUCAUAGGGUAUCUGAGGAUUACAUGAGAUGAUUUGCUUAAAGGGCUUAGAUCUGUUGCAUGUGAACCCUCCAAAAGACGUUGCUGAUGCUUUUAUGUAACAAUAUUCAUGGAGGACUCUUAGGACUCAGCCCUGGGCUAGGAGAGGAACAAAUAGACACCGUCUCUACAUGCAGGAAGUUCAGCAUUUCUCAGAUAAUCCCAGAACUGAAUGUCAGAUUGAAACUAAGAAGUAUUUGAGAGUUCUCCAGAUGGAAACCGCCCUAGUCAGGGAGACGGGAGAGGCCUGUCCUGAGGAUGAGGAGGAAUCAGAUGGGAACCGGGCAGAGUGCAGGGUGUGGGCAAAGGUCCCAGGAGGGUGCCUGGCCAAUACAAGCAAUGGGCAGGUAGCCAGUGGGCCUGGGGGGUGGCUCGUGAGAGGCCAGGCAGGCCAGCAGGGCCCUCGGUUUGCAGCCUGUGGAAUGGGGCUCAGGAAGACUUUCCCUGACAAACCACCCAGCCAUUGGCAGCAUUGCUGCAUAGGAUUCAUUUACUACAGAGCUGAGUUCGGAAGAAAGGGGCAGUACCAGGUACCUGAGAUAGAGAGACGAUGGAAAGCCAAGGUGUAAACAGCAGGCCCAGAGAGACAGAGGAGUGGCUCUGGGUUCAAACCACACUGCCCUGGGCCUGGAGUUCUAACACCCACAGGAGAAACAACUGUGAUGGGGGUGGGGGUGGGGGGUGAAAAGAUGACGUCCCUCAGAGCAAAAGAGACUACCUCGCUCCACCCGCCAGGAAGUGGGGAAGGAGGGUACAAACUUAAAGCCCUUGUGUGCCCUGCAGGUCUGAAGCAUGUGUGUGGACCGCCUGUGUGGUGUAAGACUUCCUGACAUAGAAACACACCAGAAUAAAGGACGGUGCAACCCUCGGGGGCCCUGACAGGAGUAAAUACAGAACAGUCCUCUUAGGACAUUCGGCUGAUGCAGGGAGCAGAGUGUGUCCACAGAAGAACCAAGUUCCACUGAAACGAUCUCGCAAACAGACAAAAAGGACAAAUACACAAGGAAAUCAUCCAGGAUGCCCGAGAGCUAGCAAACACACCAGGCUCAGGAGCCAGCUACGGGAAGACUCAGAGACAUCUUGGAAAGCAUCCAGCCCAGAGUACAGACGGAGAAACGGAGGAGAAGUUGCACUGUUUCCUCCCAGCUAGUAUUUCAUCUAUUCCACAAAUAUGAGGGGACUUCACAAUGUUCAUGGAAAACUGGGAUUCAAAUAUGUUCAUUUUGGUUCAAACACUUUUUAAAAUCUGUGGAUAGUUGUUUCAGAACGUGCAUCUUCCAAAACUCUUGAAGAUCCCUUAUAUUUUAUGCGUGCCUCAGCCACCAUGUAAGGUAGACCAGAUGUAUGUGGUUCCCGCCCUCACAGGCUGAUAUCCCAGCAGAGACAUCAGUUGGAACAGCUAGUGACCAGGGCUUGCACGUCCCACCCUGGCUGGCUGGCCACCAGCUCCACACCUUCUGGAAGCAGUCUACUGACCAGCUGCCCUGGGAACUGAAACCAGGAAAGAAGUUAGUGCCCAGUUCCCUGCCCAUCUCAUGCCAUAAGCCACCUGCGUGUCAAGAGUGUCCACACAUCCCUGAAGUUAUCCUCUCAUUCACUUUACUGGGAGAGGCUCCAUCAGAGAAAUGGUUGGCUGUCUCCUAAAAUCUGUUUGCCCUCCCCAUCCCUCUCAGAGUUCUGUGACACCCAAGUUUUAGCUGGGCUUAUGGGUGCCGGGAAUAAAUUUUGUAGCUUCCUUUGCAGCUAGAUAUGACCGUGUGCCUAA